UACGUAGGGGGCAAGCGUUGUCCGGAUUUAUUGGGCGUAAAGAGCGUGUAGGCGGCCAGGUAGGUCAGCUGUGAAAACUCGAGGCUCAACCUCGAGACGUCGGUUGAAACCACCUGGCUAGAGUCCGGAAGAGGCGAGUGGAAUUCCUGGUGUAGCGGUGAAAUGCGCAGAUAUCAGGAGGAACACCUAUGGCGAAGGCAGCUCGCUGGGACGGUACUGACGCUGAGACGCGAAAGCGUGGGGAGCGAACAGG
rnacentral:rRNA from 1 species